rnacentral:rRNA from 1 species
GACGAACGCUGGCGGCGUGCUUAACACAUGCAAGUCGAGCGGUAAGGCCCUUUCGGGGGUACACGAGCGGCGAACGGGUGAGUAACACGUGGGUGACCUGCCCUCAGCUCUGGGAUAAGCCUGGGAAACCGGGUCUAAUACUGGAUAUGACUCCAUGACGCAUGUUGUGGGGUGGAAAGCCUUGUGCGGCUGAGGAUGGGCCCGCGGCCUAUCAGCUUGUUGGUGGGGUGANGGCCUACCAAGGCGACGACGGGUAGCCGGCCUGAGAGGGCGACCGGCCACACUGGGACUGAGACACGGCCCAGACUCCUACGGGAGGCAGCAGUGGGGAAUCUUGCGCAAUGGGCGAAAGCCUGACGCAGCGACGCCACGUGAGGGAUGACGGCCU